AGACAGUACACAUAUCUAGGGUUUCUAGCACCCAUCUUGACACUGUAUGGCAAGUAUGUCUGAGAAUGGAGCUAACAUAAGGGAAGACAAAUGAGAGAGAGAACUUAGAGUUCAGAUCUCAUCUUCUGAAUUCCUGGAUCCAGCCAUACCUGAAGCAGAGACCCAUGGACUUUUCAAUUAUGAGGCGGAAGGAGAUUUGGCAACAACAGAAGUCAAUGUGAUGACUGAAGUAAGAGGCUUCUCUGCUGGCUUUGAAGAUGGAGGAAGGGGCCAGGAACCAAGGGAUGCAGUUCUAGAAGUUCGAAAAGGCAAAAAACCAGAUUUUCCCCUAGAGCCUCUGGAGGGAGCACAGCCCUGCUGAUAGCUUGAUUUUAGCUCCAUAAGAUUCAUUUCAGAGCUCUGGCCUCCAGAACUGUAAGAGAAUAGAUUUCUGUGGUUUUAAGCUACUAUGUUUGUGGUAGUUUGUUACAGCAUCCACAGGAAAUGAAUACAGUGCUCAAUAAAC
rnacentral:lncRNA from 10 species